rnacentral:rRNA from 1 species
GAUGAACGCUGGCGGCGUGCUUAACACAUGCAAGUCGAACGGUGAAGCAGAGCUUGCUCUGUGGAUCAGUGGCGAACGGGUGAGUAACACGUGAGCAACCUGCCCCUGACUCUGGGAUAAGCGCUGGAAACGGCGUCUAAUACUGGAUAUGAGCUGCGACCGCAUGGUCAGCAGUUGGAAAGAUUUUUCGGUCUGGGAUGGGCUCACGGCCUAUCAGCUUGUUGGUGAGGUAAUGGCUCACCAAGGCGUCGACGGGUAGCCGGCCUGAGAGGGUGACCGGCCACACUGGGACUGAGACACGGCCCCGACUCCUACGGGAGGCAGCAGUGGGGAAUAUUGCACAAUGGGCGAAAGCCUGAUGCAGCAACGCCGCGUGAGGGAUGACGGCCUUCGGGUUGUAAACCUCUUUUAGCAGGGAAGAAGCGAAAGUGACGGUACCUGCAGAAAAAGCGCCGGCUAACUACGUGCCAGCAGCCGCGGUAAUACGUAGGGCGCAAGCGUUAUCCGGAAUUAUUGGGCGUAAAGAGCUCGUAGGCGGUUUGUCGCGUCUGCUGUGAAAUCCCGAGGCUCAACCUCGGGUCUGCAGUGGGUACGGGCAGACUGGAGUGCGGUAGGGGAGAUUGGAAUUCCUGGUGUAGCGGUGGAAUGCGCAGAUAUCAGGAGGAACACCGAUGGCGAAGGCAGAUCUCUGGGCCGUUACUGACGCUGAGGAGCGAAAGGGUGGGGAGCAAACAGGCUUAGAUACCCUGGUAGUCCACCCCGUAAACGUUGGGAACUAGUUGUGGGGUCCAUUCCACGGAUUCCGUGACGCAGCUAACGCAUUAAGUUCCCCGCCUGGGGAGUACGGCCGCAAGGCUAAAACUCAAAGGAAUUGACGGGGACCCGCACAAGCGGCGGAGCAUGCGGAUUAAUUCGAUGCAACGCGAAGAACCUUACCAAGGCUUGACAUAUACGAGAACGGGCCAGAAAUGGUCAACUCUUUGGACACUCGUAAACAGGUGGUGCAUGGUUGUCGUCAGCUCGUGUCGUGAGAUGUUGGGUUAAGUCCCGCAACGAGCGCAACCCUCGUUCUAUGUUGCCAGCACGUAAUGGUGGGAACUCAUGGGAUACUGCCGGGGUCAACUCGGAGGAAGGUGGGGAUGACGUCAAAUCAUCAUGCCCCUUACGUCUUGGGCUUCACGCAUGCUACAAUGGCCGGUACAAAGGGCUGCAAUACCGCGAGGUGGAGCGAAUCCCAAAAAGCCGGUCCCAGUUCGGAUUGAGGUCUGCAACUCGACCUCAUGAAGUCGGAGUCGCUAGUAAUCGCAGAUCAGCAACGCUGCGGUGAAUACGUUCCCGGGUCU